UACGUAGGGUGCAAGCGUUGUCCGGAAUUAUUGGGCGUAAAGAGCGCGUAGGCGGUCCGAUAAGUCGGCUGUGAAAGUCAAGGGCUCAACCCUUGAAAGCCGGCCGAUACUGUCGGACUAGAGUCCGGAAGAGGCGAGUGGAAUUCCCGGUGUAGCGGUGAAAUGCGCAGAUAUCGGGAGGAACACCAAUGGCGAAGGCAGCUCGCUGGGACGUGACUGACGCUGAGACGCGAAAGCGUGGGGAGCAAACAGG
rnacentral:rRNA from 1 species